AUUGAACGCUGGCGGCAUGCCUUACACAUGCAAGUCGAACGGUAACAGGUCUUCGGAUGCUGACGAGUGGCGAACGGGUGAGUAAUACAUCGGAACGUGCCUAGUAGUGGGGGAUAACUACUCGAAAGAGUGGCUAAUACCGCAUGAGAUCUACGGAUGAAAGCAGGGGAUCGCAAGACCUUGUGCUACUAGAGCGGCCGAUGGCAGAUUAGGUAGUUGGUGGGAUAAAAGCUUACCAAGCCGACGAUCUGUAGCUGGUCUGAGAGGACGAUCAGCCACACUGGGACUGAGACACGGCCCAGACUCCUACGGGAGGCAGCAGAGGGGAAUUUUGGACAAUGGGCGCAAGCCUGAUCCAGCAAUGCCGCGUGCAGGAUGAAGGCCUUCGGGUUGUAACUGCUUUUGUACGGAACGAAAAGCCCCGGGUUAAUACCCUGGGGUCAUGACGGUACCGUAAGAAUAAGCACCGGCUAACUACGUGCCAGCCGCCGCGGUAA
rnacentral:rRNA from 1 species